rnacentral:rRNA from 1 species
GGGUCAGUAGGUUGGUCGUGCCACCGGUACGUACUGGUCUCACUGAUUCCUCCUUCCUGAAGAACCGUAAUGCCAUGAAUUUGGUGUUGCGGGGAAACAGGACUGUCACUUUGAAAAAAUUAGAGUGUUUAAAGCAAGCUAACGCUUGAAUACAUUAGCAUGGAAUAAUGAAAUAGGACGAUCGAUCCUAUUUUGUUGGUUUCUAGGAUUGACGUA